AUGUGUAAGGGGGUGCAGGGUUUUUAUGUUAAGGAGGUGUAUGAACUUUGUGUAAAGGGGGUGCAGGGUUUUUUAUUUAUUUAUUUUUUAAAUUGUUUAUUUUUGUAGUGCACGUAUAUAAUACAGGCAUGCUUGAGGUGCCCCGAAAGCAAUCCUCAGGCUUUUCCCACGCUUAAAAUGCGGGGUGUACGAAUAACUGGCACAAUUUUUAUGCUUUAUCAGGCUCAAUUAACAUAACAUUAAAUAAU